UACGGGGGGGGCAAGCGUUGUUCGGAAUUACUGGGCGUAAAGGGCUCGUAGGUGGCCAACUAAGUCGGACGUGAAAUCCCUCAGCUUAACUGGGGAACUGCGUCCGGUACUGGAUGGCUCGAGUUUGGGAGAGGGAUGCGGAAUUCCAGGUGUAGCGGUGAAAUGCGUAGAUAUCUGGAGGAACACCGGUGGCGAAGGCGGCAUCCUGGACCAACACUGACACUGAGGAGCGAAAGCCAGGGGAGCAAACGGG
rnacentral:rRNA from 1 species